rnacentral:rRNA from 1 species
UACGUAGGGGGCAAGCGUUGUUCGGAAUUACUGGGCGUAAAGGGCGCGUAGGCGGCAUGGCAAGUCGGGAGUGAAAGGCCUGGGCUCAACCGAGGAACUGCUUUCGAGACUGCCAAGCUAGAGUGCGGAAGGGGCGUCUGGAAUUCCCAGUGUAGCGGUGAAAUGCGUAGAUAUUGGGAAGAACACCGGUGGCGAAGGCGGCUCUCUGGAACGGUACUGACGCUGAGACGCGAAAGCGUGGGGAGCGAACAGG